AUUUAUUGUCUAUCCGGUUGGAAUCAAGACCGACAUUCAAUCAAAAAUUGUCAUUUUCUUGUUCCACAAGUGUCGCAACUGUUUCGCAUCUAGUGCGCUGUGUUGCUGACAACAACGGGAAGGAUGCGCACUACUUUUGACAUGAUUAUAAAACGUCGCGAGUUGGGUCGCGUCGCGACUUGAUUGUGCGAAGUCCGGUUUGGUGGCGGCCCGACAAUAAUAGAAUGAGAACAUCUGCAACAGAUACCCAAGAGGUGGUUCCUCGGGUGAUGUGGAGAUCGACCCACUAAAAACUCAUUCUCUCUCUUCCUUACCUUCGCGGUACGCCCGUUAGGGAUGACUUCGAGAAAGGGGGGACCGUGUUGUUCACUCUCCCCUGGAGGCUCGGGUAUUGGCUAGUACUUAGACCACAGACGAAUUUAUACAGACGUAAGAGUGCGGUACAAACCACUAAAAAUUUUCGGUACCAUGUUUUCUUCUUUUUCCUUAUCCACAAGCUCACCGAGGGGGCUAGUUAUUACCAUUUUGCGGUUGUUUUUACGCAUUGGUUUACCCCUCCCACAAGAUUUUGACAGUUUUUCGCCGUCUUCGCCGGCUUUCGCCGCACAAAAACUUGUUUUGUUUUGUUUACGUAUCCCACCCAAAUCCAUCGGCAAAUUUGCGUCGUUUGCGUGGCUAGUGAAAUUAUUUGUAAUUUAAUGUUAAUCCUAUACGAAUUAUUCGAUGUUUUCCAUUGCGAGUGGUUAGCGCAGCAGCAAGAAUGAAACCAGCUACGGCCAAGUUGCUGGAUCUCAGAGCCGACGUUCUUCGCCAAGUCGUACACGAGCGACAAAUGUUGGUGACACCGAAUUUGUUUUGCAUUGGUGGAUCUGUACGAUUCGCUAGAUUCCGCCUGAGAACGAAUCUUGGAAGAAUAUCUCGCAGUGUCCCUAUCAUGUUGUCAGUCGGUGGAAUUGCUGAGAUGAUGCACGGGAGUUUCAGAGCACCGGAUCUGGACGGGAUGCAGCUGAAAUUUGUCGCUGCCCAGCCGGAACCUUGUCCAGCUGCCGGAAGCACCAGUACAGUGGUGCAAUAAAAAGGUGGUAAAGUUGCGUAGCUGGAGAUGGACAUCCUAGACGAUGAGUGGAAGAUUACCGAGCCGGAACGGCAGAACCGAAAAUACAAGAGCUUGCUCCAGAUUAUAAAGAAGCGUGAGAAGGCCAGGAAGUGGACAGGAUCCAGCUGUAUCAUAUGUCGAUGAACAGCAAAAACGAGGACAAGGAGUAUGCGGUGGUGGAGGAAAGAUUAAUGCCAUAGACUUAAUAGUAAUGCUCCCGAAUGCAGAGCUGAAUUGGGAAGACGAGCAGCUGGCCUCGACGAUGUACAAACCAGGUACUUCCGUCGACCAUCGUUUGCCAGCAGCCCUAUCUGGAGGAUCCUUGCCGAUUCGAUGUCAAUGCCUUGUGAUAGUAAAUACAUAUAUCUAAAUAAAAAUACUUAGGUGGGUGGGGGCGUU